rnacentral:lncRNA from 1 species
AUGAAGCUGGAAAUCAACAACUCAAGAAUCUCUAUAACACAUGCAAUCACAUGGAAAAUUAACAGCAUGUUCCUGAAUAAACAGUGGGUCAUAGAAGAAAUCAAAAGAGAAAUCAAAGAAUUUAUGAAAGCAAAUGAAGACAAAAAUACAUUAUAUAAAAACUUAUGGGAUACAGCUAAAGCAAUGUUAACAAGGAAGUUUAGAGAAAUCAGUACAUACAAGAAAUUAGAAAUUGGAAAAUUGCAAAAAAUUAAAAAUGGAAAAGUCAGAGUAAGCUUUAUGUACCUUUGAUGUAAAUGGAAUAUCUUCUCCGUACUUUAGUACCUUUAAGUAGGAUGAUGUAAAAAUACUUUUAGCUUUAAUUCCAUAUAAAUGGAUGUGAGAAUACUUUAAAGUAUUGAAGUCACUUGCUGGAUACCUACACAUCUCAUUUAAAGCAUUAAUUUUCCUCAACAUUACACUAGAUAGCUUCAUAUUUAUGAAUGUUCAUUCCCCUUUGUAUUUCAAUUUAUUCCCAAUCUCCCCCAAGCAAUUUGGCAACAAGAAUGGAAAAUGUGCAAGUGGAAUUAUGGCCAACAGUUAAGACACCACUAGCUGAUAGUCUCCAUUUGGGUACUUUGGCUCAGUGUGACAGGAGUAUUAACACUCAUUGGAUAUUUUGAGAUGUCAUUUAAGCAUUGGGUAAUUGUGACUCCAUGACUCCAAGUUUCCAUCUCCUUGCCAUUAGCUUUAAUGAUGGAAAAUAUGGGAAGCUGGGAAUAUGGUAUUCAAGCCACUCUGAAAAGACUAAUUUCACUUUAUCACCUUUAGAAUGAAUACAUUUAUUUAUUUAUUCAAAAAAAUCUCUGCUUUGCAAUAGUUAUAAGAAAGUUCUUUUGAAGUAGACAUCAAUACACCUUCUGGAGAUGUUUUAAAAAUUCCCAUAAAAAUGUUUAAUUGAUAUUUCUUGGAUAGAUAUUUAUCAGAAAAUAAAGAGUAUAUUGAAUAUCUAUUAGGAUAUUAG